rnacentral:lncRNA from 1 species
UGACUCAAUCUUGGUCAUACUUUUUUAAUGAAAAAAGUAUGGAAAGAUUUCCACUGGCAGGGACUAGAUUGCAUUAGCCAUGUUAUUUACAUUACUUACUUUCUUUUCUGACAUGUGACAUGUAAGAGGUGGACGAAAUAGAAAUAUAAACAGCGUCAAUUUUUAGAUGUCCAGUAACUAAAAGUGUGAGGCCAUCUUUG